AUUGAUUUUUGAUCGGUUUCGAAAUACAGGAUGAAGAAACAAUGGAAUUCGAACCUCAAAGAUUGUUAUUUCAACAGUUUGCUUUGUCCCCGGUUUCACAGUCAUUUCAGUGGCAGGAUCGGCAUCACUGAAUUCCGGGUUGCAAU